CGAGGGGCUCGCCGCUUCUGCCCAUGGAUUUGCGCUUCGGUCACUCCAUUUCUUGCCCGCCUUGUAUAAAAUUGGGCGAAGCACCCAGCAUUAGCUCCCUCCUCUUUUCUGAUGAGAAUGGAAUGAAAUCCUAUUUGAUUUAACGAAGAUUUCUAACAUGGAAAUUAUGACAUGGAAGUUUUCCAAAAUAAGCUCUCUAGAACUACAGUGUCUGCAACCUGAGGCUCUUUCAUCUCCCUGCUGUGGCUCCUUAUUGGCUGAACCCAUCACUGGCUGGCCCUGCCCCUCGCUCUCCCCUCCCGGUCACUCCUUGCUUGGCCUGAGAAGGAUGUAGGUCUGCACUCCCUCCCAUUGGAUUGUUGCAACGUUAAUUGCUGUAGCCGGGAAAUUUGGGCAGGGCUCCUGUAACUCUGGGAUUACAGUAAGAAGAUGAAAGCUGAUAUAUCUAUGGAAACUCUGUCUUUGGUACAACCGUUAAAGGUAAGACAAGACCAGUUUAUAGUUGGUCAUUCUAAGUGUAAUUUCUGGUAAAGCAUAACCUAUCCAUAAUUUCUGUGUGCUAUGCUAUAAACAUCUGUGGUAAGUACUCUUUCCAUUUUUGUGCAUUUUAAUUAUAGAUUUGGCUGAAAACACCCUCCUACGCUGUUGGAUUAUCCUGCUGAACCAGUUUGUACCUUUAAAAAAAAUUACGGAACCAAUGCCUUGUUUGUAGAGAGUAAAAUCCACCAUGCAAAAUAAAACACAAGCUUCUCUCCAAUUCUGCUGAAAAAUGCAGUACUUGAUCAGUAAAUCUGAAAAAGGGGUCUAAGCAGGACAAACUGAAGUGUGUUUUUGCAUUGGCAUCAUGCCACCACCCUUCAUUACAUUAAUGCCAUUACAUGAAUGGCAUCUAGGAUCCAAAGAUUCCUAUGUGCCCCUCCCCUAUCCCCGUCUCUCCCCCAUCUCUCUCCCUUUGGCUGCCACUUCACCAAAGGCAACUCUGAAUGAAACACAACAAACAUUUCAGAACAAUUAGGAUCAUACCCUUCAUCUGAUGAUAUAUGAUAUCUGAGCCUGCAGGUGUUUUUUUUUUUUUUUCAACUGGGCAGGAUUUGGAAAGAGUCCAGGCAAUUUUUUUUUAGAACAGUUCUAUGACUGAAGAAAGAAGGAGAACAGGUGCCCUACAGCCACACUAUAGAACAUCAGAGUCCUUGAGAAUAAGCCUUUUCUGUAGGGAAUGAGGAUUUUCUGAUCCUUGCUGGGCUUAGAGGCUGCAUUGAUAAGGGAGGAAGAGUAGACUGGGUGGAAGGAAGAGGGUGACAGCAGACACAAGUUGAUGACAGAGAGAAAAUUUAAGGUUAAAAACAAAAAACAAAAAACAGCCUGACUUCCCUAAUCAGGGCCUGUAAAAACAACCUAAUCAUUCACUGUAGGUUCACCUCAAACCAGCUCUGUGACCACACAGAAACUGAGCCACUCAGUCAAGCUGGAAGCUGCAAUUCAGCAAUAACUUGACCUCCUGAUAACCCUAACUAGAAGAUCUAUACAAGCCCACAGAUGGAAAGGGAAGAAAGGUUCGGAUUCCAGAUCAACAAUCCAAACAAUGGAAUCCAACCUGCAUGGGAACUCCUGAGAAACAUGAGAAACAUAGGAGAACUCCAGGGAAAUCUAUUUCAAGGUAAAAAGAGUUACCAAAGAACAAUAUACUGUACCUGUACCAAAUUAUAAAACAUGGAUCUGGAUUAAUUAAUAAAAAAAUAACAAAAAUUAAUUAACAAAAAGAUCUUGACUAUGUAUCAGAAUGGUCAAAUAAUUGGCAACUCCAAAACUCAACCAACAAAUCUUCUGUCUUACACAUUAGCCAAAAAAUAAAAUAAAAAUCAGAACACAAAAUACAAGCUGGAUGGAUACAACCUACCAGAUGACCUCACUCUGUCAAAGACCUUGGAGUACUCGUCUCAAAUGAUAUAAGUGCCAUAGCUCGCUGUAACAGCAUUGCUAAAAAAAGCAUUGAGAGUUGUUAACCUAAUCUUGCAUAGCUUCUUCUCUGGUAAUAUUGAACUGCAAACUAGGGCAUACAAAACUUUUGCCAGACCAAUUCUUGAAUACAGCUCAUCUGUCUGGAACCCACCCUGCAUAUCGGACAGUAAUAUAAUUGAACGAGUCCAGAGAUAUUUCACAAGAAGAGUCCUCCAUUCCUCUGCUCAGAACCUUAUGCCACGAGACUCGAAAUUUUGGGCUUAGACAAUUUAGAACUUCACCGUCUUCAGUCUGACCUAAGCAUAGUAUAUAAAAUCAUCUGCUACAAUGUCCUACCAGCUAAUGAAUACUUCAGCUUCAACCAAAACAAUACAAGAGCACACAAUAGAUAUAACUUAUGGUAACCAAUCCAAACCAGACUGCAGAAAAUACAACUUCAGUAACAGAGUUGUCAAUGCCUGGAAUGCACAACCUGACUCUGUGGUUUCUUCCCCAAAUCCCCAAAACGUUAACCUCGGACUGUUUACUGUAGACCUCACCCCAUUCCUAAGAAGUCUGUAAGGGGUGUGCAUAAGCGCACCAGCGUGCCUGCCGUCCCUGUCCUAAUGUUUUCUUUUAUUCGUAUCCAUUUCAUGUAUUCAUAAUCAUGUUUAUCUGUUAUCUAAUACAUGCUUGAUGAAAUAAAUAAAUAAAUAAUUGUUCCCCUGCAAUUCAGAGCUCUGAAUUGGCUAUACUCUGCCUAUCUAUCUACUCUAUCUAAGGGCACCAGGUGCAUCAGCAUGCAUAUACCCAGCCAGAUUGCUUGUGUCUUUUGCUGGCCAGGAAUGUAUGUUGAUGGUCACCUUUGUGCCUGUUGCACUGAAUGCCAAAAAACACAGUGAGAAGGUUUUGUUUCUUCUCUCUUUCUCUGCAAGCAAAUUACUAGUUCAAUGGCAAGAGCUUUUUUCAGAGCUCUGACAAAAGGACUAACAAAACAAAAUCUUGGUAACAAAAUCUUGAUAUUUGGACAUGGCCUCUCCAAGAAAACCUGGCAUGUUAAUUUACUUAAAGAAUGGUGAAGCUCUAAUACUGGUGGAAUAAACUUUAUUGAUUAGUCAAAUUGAUCAUACUGAGACAGUGGAUGUUAGCCACUAUAAGAUACAAUGAAAUGAAAUAAGGUAAAACUUAGCAAAGUAAGAUAAAGUAAAAACAAGUGUUAGGGUAAAAAAUAGUGUAAGUGU